rnacentral:rRNA from 1 species
GAUGAACGCUGGCGGCGUGCCUAAUACAUGCAAGUCGAGCGAACGGACGAGAAGCUUGCUUCUCUGAUGUUAGCGGCGGACGGGUGAGUAACACGUGGAUAACCUACCUAUAAGACUGGGAUAACUUCGGGAAACCGGAGCUAAUACCGGAUAAUAUUUUGAACCGCAUGGUUCAAAAGUGAAAGACGGUCUUGCUGUCACUUAUAGAUGGAUCCGCGCUGCAUUAGCUAGUUGGUAAGGUAACGGCUUACCAAGGCAACGAUGCAUAGCCGACCUGGGAGGGUGGAGGCCCACAGAGAAACUGACACCCGACCCAGGACCCGAGGGGGGGCACAGGUGGGGAAUGUUCCCAACAGGGGGGAACCUUGAGGAAGGACCGCGGGGUGGAUGAAGAAGGGCUUCGGGUGGUAAAACGUUUUUUUGGGGGAAAAACAAUUGUGAAAGUAACGAUGCCCAAGUGACGGGAACUAAUAAAGAAGCCCCGGCUAACUACGGG